ACAGACAGAGUAACGUUGUUGGCUGAAAUACAGUGGAAGUCCAAAGUCCAUCAGAAAGACAAAUACUUUUCUUUAAAAAGCAUAAAAAAACAUGUCAGUCUAUCCUCCUCUGAGCAGGGCGAUUCUUGUGGUGACCACAGAAAGGCCAUAGUCCUGUUUGGCUAAAUAGAUCCUGCAGACGUCAGGAAGAGCCUCUCUGCUCUCUAUUAGGGUCCGCUCUCAGGUUUGUCAGGAAGAGCCUCUCUGCUCUCUAUUAGGGUCCGCUCUCAGGUUUGUCAGGAAGAGCCUCUCUGCUCUCUAUUAGGGUCCGCUCUCAGGUUUGUCAGGAAGAGCCUCUCUGCUCUCUAUUAGGGUCCGCUCUCAGGUUUGUCAGGAAGAGCCUCUCUGCUCUCUAUUAGGGUCCGCUCUCAGGUUUGUCAGGAAGAGCCUCUCUGCUCUCUAUUAGGGUCCGCUCUCAGGUUUGUCAGGAAGAGCCUCUCUGCUCUCUAUUAGGGUCCGCUCUCAGGUUUGUCAGGAAGAGCCUCUCUGCUCUCUAUUAGGGUCCGCUCUCAGGUUUGCCAAGUGCUCCAUUGGAAACAGGUUACGCUGCAGUGACUGCUUUUGAUUUGG